CGAGGGACAGGGCACCCCAUGGCACAGGGACACCCCCAUGGCACAGGGACACCACCCCUGAGCCCAUCGAGGGACAGGGCACCCCAUGGGACAGGGACACUGCUGAGCCCACCAAGGGAUGGGGCACCCCAUGGCACAGGGACACCGCUGAGCCCACUGAGAGAUGGGGCACCCUAUGGGACAGGGACACCCCCAUGGCACAGGGACACCACCCCUGAGCCCAUCGAGGGACAGGGCACCCCAUGGGACAGGGACACUGCUGAGCCCACCAAGGGAUGGGGCACCCCAUGGCACAGGGUCACCCCAUAGCACAGGGACAACCCUAGCCCCAUCAAGGGAUGGGCCACCCCAUGGCACAGGGGCACCCCUAGACCCCCAAGAGAUGCAGCACUCCAUUGUACAGGGACACCCCCAUGGCACAGGCACACCCCUGAGCCCACCAAGGGACAUGGCACCCCAUGGGAUAGGGACACCCCCAUGCCCAUCGAGGGACAGGGCACCCCAUGGCACAGGGACACCCCCAUGGCACAGGGACACCCCUAGACCCAUAGCGAGACAGGGCACCCCAUGCCACACGGACACCCCCAUGCCACAGGGACACCCCCAAGCCCACCAAGGGACAGGGACACCCCCAUGGCACAGGGACACCACCCCUGAGCCCAUCGAGGGACAGGGCACCCCAUGGGACAGGGACACUGCUGAGCCCACCAAGGGAUGGGGCACCCCAUGGCACAGGGUCACCCCAUAGCACAGGGACAACCCUAGCCCCAUCAAGGGAUGGGCCACCCCAUGGCACAGGGGCACCCCUAGACCCCCAAGAGAUGCAGCACUCCAUUGUACAGGGACACCCCCAUGGCACAGGCACACCCCUGAGCCCACCAAGGGACAUGGCACCCCAUGGGAUAGGGACACCCCCAUGCCCAUCGAGGGACAGGGCACCCCAUGGCACAGGGACACCCCCAUGGCACAGGGACACCACCCCUGAGCCCAUCGAGGGACAGGGCACCCCAUGGCACAGCGGGGUGGCCGUGGGCACGGGCCCCCCACAGCCAGAAAAGCCACCGCUACCGACCCAAGCCCUGCCCCACGGCCCACCUGGGCCAGCCCCUGUCCCAUAGUUGCCCCAUGGCCACCUCCCCCCAUGGUCACCUCGUGUCCACCCUUGCCCCAUGGCCACCCCACGGCUACCUCAUCCCAUGCCAACCCCUGCCUCAUGAUUACUCCAUGGCCACCUCAUCCCAUGGUCACCUCGUGCCCACCCUUGCCCCAUGGCCACCCCAUGGCUACCUCAUCCCAUGCCAACCCCUGCCUCAUGAUUACCCCAUGGCCAGCUCCCCCCAUGGUCACCUCGUGCCCAGCCUUGACCCAUGGCCACCCCAUGGCUACCUCAUCCCAUGCCAAUCUCUGCCCCAUAGUUACCCCAUGGCCACCUCACCCACAUGGUCACCUUGUGCCCACCGUUGCUCCAUGGCCACCUC
rnacentral:lncRNA from 1 species